UACGUAGGGGGCGAGCGUUGUCCGGAAUUAUUGGGCGUAAAGAGCGUGUAGGCGGCUCGGUAAGUCCGCUGUGAAAGUCCAGGGCUCAACCCUGGAAGGCCGGUGGAAACUGCCGGGCUAGAGUCCGGAAGAGGCGAGUGGAAUUCCCGGUGUAGCGGUGAAAUGCGCAGAUAUCAGGAGGAACACCAAUGGCGAAGGCAGCUUGCUGGGACGGUACUGACGCUGAGACGCGAAAGCGUGGGGAGCGAACAGG
rnacentral:rRNA from 1 species